GUCGAACGGGGUCGGAACUUCGGUUCCGGCUUACGUGGCGCACGGGUGAGUAACACGUGGGAAUCUGCCCAUCUAUGGGGAAUAACUGCGGGAAACUGCAGCUAAUACCGCAUACGCCCUUCGGGGGAAAGGCUUCGGCCGUAGAUGGAUGAGCCCGCGUCCGAUUAGCUAGUUGGUGGGGUAAUGGCCUACCAAGGCGACGAUCGGUAGCUGGUCUGAGAGGAUGAUCAGCCACACUGGGACUGAGACACGGCCCAGACUCCUACGGGAGGCAGCAGUGGGGAAUAUUGGACAAUGGGCGAAAGCCUGAUCCAGCAAUGCCGCGUGAGUGAUGAAGGUCUUCGGAUUGUAAAGCUCUUUCGACGGGGAAGAUAAUGACGGUACCCGUAGAAGAAGCCCCGGCUAACUUCGUGCCAGCAGCCGCGGUAAUACGAAGGGGGCUAGCGUUGUUCGGAUUUACUGGGCGUAAAGCGUGCGUAGGCGGCUUAUCAAGUCAGAAGUGAAAGCCCGGGGCUCAACUCCGGAAUGGCUUUUGAGACUGGUAGGCUGGAGUUCGGGAGAGGGUAGUGGAAUUCCCAGUGUAGAGGUGAAAUUCGUAGAUAUUGGGAAGAACACCGGUGG
rnacentral:rRNA from 1 species